GCCCUUAGAGUUUGAUCCUGGCUCAGGAUGAACGCUAGCGGCAGGCUUAAUACAUGCAAGUCGAACGGUAAUCCCGCUUUUGCGGGAACGAGUGGCGCACGGGUGCGUAACACGUAUGCAACCUACCCUUCACUGGGGAAUAACCCUGAGAAAUCGGGGCUAAUACUCCAUGGUAUUUCAGAUGGGCAUCCAUUUGAGAUUAAAGAUUUAUCGGUGAAGGAUGGGCAUGCGCCCCAUUAGUUAGUUGGUAAGGUAACGGCUUACCAAGGCUUUGAUGGGUAGGGGUUCUGAGAGGAUUAUCCCCCACACUGGUACUGAGACACGGACCAGACUCCUACGGGAGGCAGCAGUAAGGAAUAUUGGGCAAUGGGAGGGAUCCUGACCCAGCCAUGCCGCGUGCAGGAAGACGGCCCUAUGGGUUGUAAACUGCUUUUUUAUGGGACUAACCUACCCCACGAGUGGGGUACUGCAUGUACCAUAGGAAUAAGCAUCGGCUAACUCCGUGCCAGCAGCCGCGGUAAUACGGAGGAUGCGAGCGUUAUCCGGAAUUAUUGGGUUUAAAGGGUGCGUAGGCUGACAAGUAAGUCAGUGGUGAAAUACCCGGGCUUAACCCCGGGGGUUGCCAUUGAUACUGUUUGUCUUGAGUGUAUUCGAAGUGAGCGGAAUGA
rnacentral:rRNA from 1 species